rnacentral:rRNA from 1 species
AAUAGAUACCCGGGUAGUCCACGCCGUAAACGAUGAGUGCUAAGUGUUGGGGGGUUUCCGCCCCUCAGUGCUGCAGCUAACGCAUUAAGCACUCCGCCUGGGGAGUACGGUCGCAAGACUGAAACUCAAAGGAAUUGACGGGGGCCCGCACAAGCGGUGGAGCAUGUGGUUUAAUUCGAAGCAACGCGAAGAACCUUACCAGGUCUUGACAUCCCGGUGACCACUAUGGAGACAUAGUUUCCCCUUCGGGGGCAACGGUGACAGGUGGUGCAUGGUUGUCGUCAGCUCGUGUCGUGAGAUGUUGGGUUAAGUCCCGCAACGAGCGCAACCCUUAUUCUUAGUUGCCAUCAUUCAGUUGGGCACUCUAAGGAGACUGCCGGUGAUAAACCGGAGGAAGGUGGGGAUGACGUCAAAUCAUCAUGCCCCUUAUGACCUGGGCUACACACGUGCUACAAUGGACGGUACAAACGGUUGCCAACCCGCGAGGGGGAGCUAAUCCGAUAAAACCGUUCUCAGUUCGGAUUGUAGGCUGCAACUCGCUACA